UACGAAGGGGGCUAGCGUUGCUCGGAAUGACUGGGCGUAAAGGGCGCGUAGGCGGAUGGUACAGUCAGAUGUGAAAUUCCUGGGCUCAACCUGGGGGCUGCAUUUGAUACGUGCUGUCUUGAGUUCGGAAGAGGGUCGUGGAAUUCCCAGUGUAGAGGUGAAAUUCGUAGAUAUUGGGAAGAACACCGGUGGCGAAGGCGGCGACCUGGUCCGAUACUGACGCUGAGGCGCGAAAGCGUGGGGAGCAAACGGG
rnacentral:rRNA from 1 species